rfam:Picea glauca, whole genome shotgun sequence.
GCAAAGGCCCUAUUUAGGGCCACAGAGAAGUCUGUUGUCGAAUUCAU